CUGCGUUUUCCUUUUCUAUUAAUUCGUUUUCUUCCCAUUUAGCCCAAAACAAAUCCCUAUAUUUAAGCAACGUUUCUACCCAAAACUCUUCCCUACACUUUCCUCAAAUCCUAGCCGUCUUCUACACUCCCUAUCAAUCACUCAAAGCAUAUGAAAAUCUCAGCUUGUUCUCGUUCCAUUUUGUCAUAGUCAAAGUAGACUCGAUCCUCUACAAAUCCCAACUUUUGUUUCGUCAAACGCCGUUUGAAGAUCGAAAUCAGUUUCGUUUAUUCCCCGUGAUAGCAGACUUGUUCCUCUAUGUUUCUACACUUUUCGUUCGUCAAACGACUCUUCGACUACUCGCGCUCCGGAGUCGAACCAGGGUUAGCUGUUUGCCAAAGUUUCACGUGGAUAAGCAAGCAGUUUAUGAUUUGAAAGCUGGUCCACUCCGAUUUUUUUGAUUCAUCGGAGAUUUUUAUGUUAUUAAACUAGUUUCUGUUUUCGAACUCUUAGACCGCAGUAGAACUAGUUUAGUUAUUACAUUUGAUAUUACACUUUGGGUUUGUCGAUUUAUUCGAUUAUUUAUAUUUGGCAUGAUUACUCUGGAUUACGAUGUUGUUAUAUAUAAGGUAUGCGGUUGAACAUUUAAGAUAUUUAAAUUAUUUAUAUUUGAACUGCAAUAUAAAUUGCUAGACCUAGGUUGGAGUCUCGGUUGCCCCCGAGCAGUUUUCUGCAGGUUUAAAUGUUUAUUUGAUUUCCGCGAGGCUUGCUACGGGUUUUGGUACAACCAUACCCAUACCCUAGCGCCGGUCACGAUUCAUGAAAUUGGGUCGUGACAAAGUUGGUA